rnacentral:lncRNA from 1 species
CUAAAGGAGAAUGCAUUAAUUACUUUUCUUUUUUUCCUUUAUGUGAAUCUAAAUUUGAAGAGGAAAAGAAUGUAUUUCAUCAAUAUAACUACUGAAAGUACAAGAAUUCACAUGGUAGAGUGAGUUAGAGUUCAGUAGCAAACUUGUAUCAAAAUAUUUUUCAGGGCCUGUGCAAAACACUGGAAGAAUGCCUGGAAGGGAAGAAAGCUAAAGCUGUGCCCUUUAUUUGGUGGUUGAAGGUACUCUUCAGGCUACGAGUACUGUGCUUCAGCCAAAACAGAGACAAAGCGACUCAGGCCUGGACUAGACAUGAAUCAGAGCGAUCAGAAGACCCAGUAUUUCACUCCAGAAGUUCUCAACAGCUCUCUAUUCCUCAACCUCAACAAAAGUGCAGUGCAUGAGCAUCCCAAUAAUACGAGCAAGUUGUUUGGACAGAGGACCCAUUUAUCAAAUAGCAAACAAGCAGCAAGUCCAAAUGCUAACUGUGGACACUUGCAUUAGAAAUGAGGCCACUUGUACAUACCAGUAAGUCAAAAAGAUCAUUGACAUGCCAGAGAAGAAGACAUUACUAGAGAUCUGAAAUUCACAUUUCUUAAUAUGUAAUGCUCCAAAUAUAUUAGAUAUAGAUUUGUAAGUGUCCUCAACCCUGUUACAUUACUAUAAUGUUGUGGGGUUUUUUUAGACUUGGAAAUUAAUCUUGUCCGUAUUCUAGCAUUUGCAUAUAAAUUUGUUUUGUUAGAAGGAAUCUGAGCAAAACCAAGUGUUUGAUUGUGAAGUAGAAUAUUCUUGUUACACAAGGAUUUAUUUUUAAUUCUAUGGCUACUGUAUGUAAUCUGUUCCGUGUGCUUGCUUACGUUGCUAUGUUAAAAUAUCCAUCAGUGAAAUGCAGUAGUUGAUAUAAAAGCCAAAUCCCCUG